UACGGGGGGAGCAAGCGUUGUUCGGAUUUACUGGGCGUAAAGGGCGCGUAGGCGGCCUCCGCAAGUCGACUGUGAAAUCUCUGGGCUUAACCCAGAACGGUCAGCCGAUACUGCGGGGCUAGAGUGCAGAAGGGGCAACUGGAAUUCUCGGUGUAGCGGUGAAAUGCGUAGAUAUCGAGAGGAACACCUGCGGCGAGGGCGGGUUGCUGGGCUGACACUGACGCUGAGGAGCGAAAGCGUGGGGAGCAAACAGG
rnacentral:rRNA from 1 species